rnacentral:tRNA from 1 species
GGAGAGUUGCUAGAGUCUGGUAUUAGUGCGACUUCGAAAGUCGAUGACUACGUUAGUAACGUAGCGGGGGUUCGAAUCCCUCACUCUCCGCCA